CGAAAUGUGUUUGAUGGAAUGCCA
rnacentral:siRNA from 1 species